CCUGCAUAUACUUCUAAACAUUUUGCACACUUUUGUGCACAGUGUAAGAUUUUACACACCACUAGCAUACCUUUUAAUCCUCAAGUUCAGACAAUAGUAGAGAAGAGAAAGAGAGACAUUAAGAUGCUCCUCUGAAAACAAAAGAAAGGGGGAGCCACAGACAACCCUAGAGAACUUGUAAAUCUAGCUCUUUAUACUACUUAUUGAUAUUUGACAAGGUGCAUUGGCUGUGGCAGGCAGGUUUUAUAACCCACCGGAAGGGCAGUGUCCAGUGCAAGCCUCUCCAUUAUCUUUAAUCGCCAGGUGAUGUGGAGAGGCCCAGAAAGUGGUGAAUGGAAGGGACCCGAUAUGUUAACUGCUUGGGGGAGAGGGUUUGUUUGUAUCUCCACAGAUGGAGAAGGAAUCAGAUGGGUGCCAAUGAGCCAUAUUCACCUUGUCCCUCAGAAAGAGAUGGAGCACACUUUGAAAGGCAGCCCAAGAAUCUCAUUCUAAAUAUCAUCAGGCUGCUCGAGCUUUACGCUUACAAUUUGGAAUAACAAGAGAGGAAGGUGAUGUGGAGAGGCCCAGAAAGUGGUGAAUGGAAGGGACCGGAUACAUAAACUGCUUGGGGGAGAGGGUUUGCUUUUAUCUCCACAAAUGGAGAAGGAAUCAGAUGGGUACCAGUGAGCCAUAUUCACCUUGUCCAUCAGAGAGAUGGUAUUUUGAAUGGUAAUUCAAAGGCAGAUAGCCUUCUAACCAUGUUGGUCAAUACUCCUUUAUUUCAGGCAGCCCAAGAAUCUCAUUCUGAAUAUCAUCAGGCUGCUUGAGCUUUACGCUUACAAUUUGGAAUAACAAGAGAGGAAGGUAGGAGCAUAGUAAAAACCUGUACAGCUUGCCUUCCCUUCCACGCUCCUACACUGCCUCCAGGGAAGAACCCUCGUGGUUUGAGACCAAUGAAAUUUGGCAAAUGGAUUUGACCCAUUAUAAAUCUUUUGGUCCUCUGUCUUUUUUCCAUGUUGUGGUAGACACCUUUUCAGGAUUCACUUUUACAAUACCAGCAGCAAAAGAGACAGCCUGAGUGAUCACUGAAUUCCUUAUACAAGCAUUUGCAAUUAUGGGUGUGCCACAAGCAAGGAAAACAGACAAUGGACCUGCAUAUACUUCUGAACAUUUUGCACACUUUUGUGCACAGUGUAAGAUUUUACACACCACUAGCAUACCUUUUAAUCCUCAAGUACAGGCAAUAGUAGAGAAGAGAAACAGAGACAUUAAGAUGCUCCUCUGAAAACAAAAGUAAGGGGGAGCCACAGACAACCCUAGAGAACUUGUAAAUCUAGCUCUUUAUACUAUUUCUUGAUGUUUGACAAGGUGCAUUGGCUCUGGCAGGCAGGUUUUAUAACCCACCGGAAGGGCAGUGUCCAGUGCGAGCCUCUCCAUUAUCUUUAAUCGCCAGGUGAUGUGGAGAGGCCCAGAAAGUGGUGAAUGGAAGGGACCCGAUAUGUUAACUGCUUGGGGGAGAGGGUUUGCUUUUAUCUCCACAAAUGGAGAAGGAAUCAGAUGGGUACCAGUGAGCCAUAUUCACCUUGUCUAUCAGAGAGAUGGUAUUUUUGAUGGUAAUUCAAAGGCAGAUAGCCUUCUAACCAUGUAGUCAAUACUCCUUUAUUUCAGGCAGCCCAAGAAUCUCGUUCUGAAUAUCAUCAGGCUGCUCGAGCUUUACGCUUACAAUUUGGAAUAACAAGAGAGGAGGGUAGGAGCAUAGUAAAAACCUGUACACCUUGCCUUCCCUUCCACGCUCCUACACUGCCUCCAGAGAAGAACCCUUGUGGUUUGAGACCCAUUGAAAUGUGGCAAAUGGAUUUGACCCAUUAUAAAUCUUUUGGUCGUAUGUCUUUUUUCCAUGUUGUGGUAGACACCUUUUCAGGAUUCACUUUUACAAUAUCAGCAGCAAAAGAGACAGCCUGAGUGAUCACUGAAUUCCUUAUACAAGCAUUUGCAAUUAUGGGUGUGCCACAAGCAAGGAAAACAGACAAUGGACCUGCAUAUACUUCUGAACAUUUUGCACACUUUUGUGCGCAGUGUAAGAUUUUACACACCACUAGCAUACCUUUUAAUCCUCAAGUACAGGCAAUAGUAGAGAAGAGAAACAGAGACAUUAAGAUGCUCCUCUGAAAACAAAAGUAAGGGGGAGCCACAGACAACCCUAGAGAACUUGUAAAUCUAGCUCUUUAUACUAUUUCUUGAUGUUUGACAAGGUGCAUUGGCUCUGGCAGGCAGGUUUUAUAACCCACCGGAAGGGCAGUGUCCAGUGCAAGCCUCUCCAUUAUCUUUAAUCGCCAGGUGAUGUGGAGAGGCCCAGAAAGUGGUGAAUGGAAGGGACCAGAUAUGUUAACUGCUUGGGGGAGAGGGUUUGCUGUUAUCUCCACAAAUGGAGAAGGAAUCAGAUGGGUGCCAAUGUGCCAUAUUCACCUUGUCCAUCAGAGAGAGAUGGAGCACACCUUGAAAGGAAGAAGACCCAAGAAACAUCUGGUGGUUCCAUUGCUGACUGUGCUCACCACUGAAUGAGCACGGCAGUUAUGGCGUUUGACUUGUGGACAUCAACAAUUGUAGAACUGCAAAACUCUCAGGAAUCACUGGAUUCUCUGAGAUAUGAAAAGACUGUUGCAGGACUUCAAAAACUUGUGGGAAUCAUUGGAUCCCAUGACAUGUGAAGCAAUGCACAAUAGAUUGAUUUUGGACUAUCUCUUGGCUGCUGAAGAAGGCGUAUGUGUGACUGUUGUUUACAUACCCUUCUUUUAGAACUUGUGGAAAUCUUUUACAACACUAUGGUGAUUCAUAUUGUUUGUUAUAUCACUACUUGCAUGUACAAUUGAUGUUUGUUGCACCACAUUGAGCCUGCAGUGGUUGUGCGGAGAGUCAUCACUACUAGCCUGUGCAAUAUUGAUAUGUGCUUGUGUAAUACCUCCCAUGCUGAUGGGUUUGUGCAUAACUGUUUCUAAUAAAACCCUUCAGCCCAGAAA